UUUGGAUAACUUAUUUUAGAAUUAUAACCAAUAAUUUGACUCGAUAAUAAUCAAUUUAUUAAUGUCAUUUGGUCUAUCCAUGGGAUUAAAUUUGUUUCUUCAUUAGAAACUGGAAUAAAGAUCGAUUUCUAUUAUGGAUGCUAGUGUGUUACUUCUUUUCAGAGAUGAUGAAAAGCAGCCUUGAGAGCCAUUACCAAUUCAGAGGAUGAGUUAGCUACAUUCUGCGCAGUGCAGAAUAUUGUCAGAGAGUUGGUUUUUAUUAUUAUGUACUCACUGAUUUUAUUGUACUUCAAGAAUUAAGGGAACAAAUGAUCAAAAGAGCAUCAAAGAACUUGCUCUAUUUGACUACCUAGUGCUGAACUUCGUUUCAACUUCUUGGGCUUCCAAGUUCACCAGGACCAUCCUUUGUAAUAUAAAUCCUUGGUUCCUAUUUAAACUUGGUUUCAGAUAAACAUGACUAGUCGAACUGUUUUAAAUUGUAUUAACAUAAUGUCCAAAGGUGUUGCAUUACUCUGUAGGUCACAAAUUGCAGAUGUACUAAAACCAACGCUAGAUUCAGACUCUGAUCUAUAAUUCUUAAUCAUGAUGAUUUCAGCUCUAAGAUUUUGUGUGUCAACAGUCAACCUCCUUCAAGUUGAUUGUGAUCCACUGCAUUGAUUUCUUUUAUUUUUCUCUUGAUAGCGUUUUCAUUUCAAUGCAGGUUGUCAUUCAAUUGAUAAGACUCUGAUCUAUAAUUCUUAAUCAUGAUGAUUUCAGCUCUAAGAUUUUGUGUGUCAACAGUCAACCUCCUUCAAGUUGAUUGUGAUCCACUGCAUUGAUUUCUUUUAUUUUUCUCUUGAUAGGGUUUUCAUUUCAAUGCAGGUUGUCAUUCAAUUGAUAGGACUGCUAUAUAUUGUUUUAUAAAUACCAAAGGAG
rnacentral:lncRNA from 1 species